CAAGAUGUCUUAUAAAAUAUCAAAAUAAGUGUAUAAGCAUAAAAUAACACAAAUAUUGCUUACAUCCUUAGGUGGGAGAAACUUUUCUCAAGUAUCAUUCAAGCUCGUAUCGGCCCAGUAAAUAUAAUGUAGCGCUUGAUGAUCUAGUCAUAUCCUGCAAUAGCAAAAAUCACAAUUCUUCUCUCUGCCAAAAAUAAAUAACCCUCAAAGUUAGGAUCACUUCAUGGAUUCUUUCUUCAGAUGUUCGUUCUAAAGAAAUAAAAUC
rnacentral:lncRNA from 1 species